GGAGAGGUGCCGGAGUGGCCGAUCGGGGCACCCUGCUAAGGUGUUGUACCUUAUGGUACCGAGGGUUCGAAUCCCUCCCUCUCCG
rfam:Spirochaetes bacterium GWF1_51_8 gwf1_scaffold_56, whole genome shotgun sequence.